GAUGAACGCUGGCGGCGUGCCUAAUACAUGCAAGUCGAGCGAACAGACGAGGAGCUUGCUCCUCUGACGUUAGCGGCGGACGGGUGAGUAACACGUGGAUAACCUACCUAUAAGACUGGGAUAACUUCGGGAAACCGGAGCUAAUACCGGAUAAUAUAUUGAACCGCAUGGUUCAAUAGUGAAAGACGGUUUUGCUGUCACCUAUAGAUGGAUCCGCGCCGCAUUAGCUAGUUGGUAAGGUAACGGCUUACCAAGGCAACGAUGCGUAGCCGACCUGAGAGGGUGAUCGGCCACACUGGAACUGAGACACGGUCCAGACUCCUACGGGAGGCAGCAGUAGGGAAUCUUCCGCAAUGGGCGAAAGCCUGACGGAGCAACGCCGCGUGAGUGAUGAAGGUCUUCGGAUCGUAAAACUCUGUUAUUAGGGAAGAACAAAUGUGUAAGUAACUAUGCACGUCUUGACGGUACCUAAGCAGAAAGCCACGGCUAACUACGU
rnacentral:rRNA from 1 species